GAGUUUGAUCGUGGCUCAGAUUGAACGCUGGCGGCAUGCCUAACACAUGCAAGUCGAACGGCAGCACUGGGAGCUUGCUCCCUGGUGGCGAGUGGCGGACGGGUGAGUAACGCGUAGGAAUCUGGCCUCAUAGCGGGGACAACUCGGGAAACUCGAGCUAAUACCGCAUACUACUCGAGAGAGGAAAGUCAGGGGACCUUCGGGCCUUGCACGUAUGAGAUGAGGCCUGCGUUGGAUUAGCUAGUUGGUA
rnacentral:rRNA from 1 species